UACGAAGGGUGCAAGCGUUAAUCGGAAUUACUGGGCGUAAAGGGUGCGUAGGCGGUUCGUUAAGUCUGUCGUGAAAUCCCCGGGCUCAACCUGGGAAUGGCGAUGGAUACUGGCGAGCUAGAGUGUGUCAGAGGAUGGUGGAAUUCCCGGUGUAGCGGUGAAAUGCGUAGAUAUCAAGAGGAACACCUGAGGUGAAGACGGGUUGCUGGGCUGACACUGACGCUGAGGCGCGAAAGCUAGGGUAGCAAACGGG
rnacentral:rRNA from 1 species